rnacentral:rRNA from 1 species
GGGCCCGCACAAGCGGUGGAGUAUGUGGUUUAAUUCGAUGCAACGCGAAGAACCUUACCAGGGUUUGACAUCCUGCGAAUCUCUUGGAAACGAGAGAGUGCCUUCGGGAACGCAGUGACAGGUGGUGCAUGGCUGUCGUCAGCUCGUGUCGUGAGAUGUUGGGUUAAGUCCCGCAACGAGCGCAACCCACGUCUUUAGUUGCCAGCAUUUAGUUGGGCACUCUAGAGAGACCGCCGGUGAUAAACCGGAGGAAGGUGUGGAUGACGUCAAGUCAUCAUGCCCCUUACAUCCUGGGCUACACACGUACUACAAUGCUACGGACAAAGGGCAGCAAACUCGCGAGAGCUAGCAAAUCCCAUAAACCGUGGCUCAGUUCAGAUCGUAGGCUGCAACUCGCCUACGUGAAGUUGGAAUCGCUAGUAAUCGCAUAU